rnacentral:rRNA from 1 species
UACAGGGGGGGGCAAGCGUUGUUCGGAAUUACUGGGCGUAAAGGGCUCGUAGGUGGCCAACUAAGUCAGACGUGAAAUCCCUCAGCUUAACUGGGGGAACUGCGUCUGAUACUGGAUGGCUUGAGUUUGGGAGAGGGAUGCGGAAUUCCAGGUGUAGCGGUGAAAUGCGUAGAUAUCUGGAGGAACACCGGUGGCGAAGGCGGCAUCCUGGACCAAUACUGACACUGAGGAGCGAAAGCCAGGGGAGCAAACGGG